rnacentral:rRNA from 1 species
AGAGUUUGAUCCUGGCUCAGGACGAACGCUGGCGGCGUGCUUAACACAUGCAAGUCGAGCGAUGAACCUUUCAUGAAUUUUUCGGAAUGAUUGGAAGAGGAUUAGCGGCGGACGGGUGAGUAACGCGUGAGCAACCUGCCUUAAACAACGGGAUAGCCUCGGGAAACCGGGAUUAAUACCGUAUGAGACCCCGCCUUCACAUGAAGAAGAGGUUAAAGAUUUAUCGGUUUAAGAUGGGCUCGCGUCUGAUUAGCUAGUUGGUGAGAUAAAAGCCCACCAAGGCAACGAUCAGUAACCGGCUUGAGAGAGUGAACGGUCACAUUGGAACUGAGACACGGUCCAAACUCCUACGGGAGGCAGCAGUGGGGAAUAUUGCACAAUGGGGGAAACCCUGAUGCAGCGACGCCGCGUGAGCGAUGAAGGAAUUCGUUUCGUAAAGCUCUGUCCAAGGGGAAGAUAAUGACAGUACCCUUGGAGGAAGCCCCGGCUAAAUACGUGCCAGCAGCCGCGGUAAUACGUAUGGGGGCGAGCGUUGUCCGGAAUUAUUGGGCGUAAAGGGUACGUAGGCGGUUAGAUAAGUCAGAUGUAAAAGCGUGGGGCUCAACCCCAUAAAGCAUUUGAAACUGUGUAACUUGAGUAGUGGAGAGGAAAGUGGAAUUCCUAGUGUAGCGGUGAAAUGCGUAGAUAUUAGGAGGAAUACCAGUGGCGAAGGCGACUUUCUGGACACAAACUGACGCUGAGGUACGAAAGCAUGGGGAGCAAACAGGAUUAGAUACCCUGGUAGUCC